CUGAGACUGGGGAUCAAAACGAGCAACUGUUUUUGUGAGUAUUUUCUUCUCCACGGCAAAGACUUGAAAGCAUCCAUUUGGUAUCUACGACCUUUUGUUUUGUUGACUGACUCGAAGAGACCUUUUGUUGUUGUUGUUACUUGUUGCUAAGCAUCAGCGUACGUACCAAACUACCCAUCUAUUAUCGUAGAUGUUUCUGUGAGCAUCUUAAUUGGUCAUACGCAUUUGAUACAUAGACAAUUAUUAGUCACUAACAUACGCUCUCCCAAGUUCGAACUUAGGUUAGGACACAAUACGUAUUAUAUUAUCAAAGUUCUCA
rnacentral:lncRNA from 1 species